rnacentral:lncRNA from 1 species
GUAGACUCUGGAGAACAUUUUGAUGGUCUGCAGAUGUGAGGAGACUGGUGAUAGCGGAGCGAGAGAACCCCAGGAUGACUCCGUGAAGAGGACAGACGAUGCACGGAUUCUCUGAAUGAAGGAAAAGAGGAAGGAGAAACACCCUGUAGGGAGAGGAACACGAGGUUUGGACCCCACCCUAUCCCUACCACUCCGUCCUCAGACCCUACGUUACGGGAAAUAGAGAGCGGCUUUGCCGGGGGACUGUGGGCAGCGUCCAGCAUUGUCUGGCCUUCACUGAAUAGGAUGAUUUGAGAAGCACAGGUAUAGAGAACUUCCAAGGGCCGUCUCUCGGAAAUUGACCCCUGUGUGGAGGAAAUAUAAAGAGUAUUUGCCAGCUCUCUCAAGGUUCCUGGGGAUGAAGCACUGGCUUGAAAGCCCUCACUGGGGCUGCGGUGGGGGAAGAUGGAAGCCAGCUGCCACGUCCUGAGGAGGCUCAAAAGUCUCGUGGAGAGAUUCACGUGGGAGAAACUGAGGUCCCCUGUCAAUGGCUGGCAAAGAACUGAGGUCUUCUGCCCAGAGCCACGUGACUGAGCUUAGACACACAUCCUGCAGCCCCAGCCAAGCCUUGGGCUUCACUUGUCCGAUUCUACAGCUUGACUCAACCUCAGCUGAACCAGAACCACUCAGCUGAUCUGCUCCCAAAUUGCUGACCUACAGAAACUAUGAGAUAGUUUUUUGUCCUGCCUGGAUUUGGCUUCUGAAACUGCUCUGUCAUCGUGCUACAAUCCAAAGCUCAGAGGAGGACACGGCUGAGAGUUACUGCAGGGAAGCAAAGCUGCAGCCCUGGCACCAGGGAGCCAUGAGCCAGCUCUUCCGACACAUCCUCAGUAUAUAGGAUAAUUGCUUUGCUGUCAAAGCCAGUGUGAGUCAGGAUUUUCUGCUCCAGAUAACCCAGGCUUCAGGGCAAGGGCACAGCCCAGCUCCUCCAAGACGCCUUCGUUGAUGUGCCCACCCUUCAAGGCUCUUCUCACCUUAGACUUCUGGUGCCACUGCCUGGGCUGGCAGCUGCACUGGUCGUCACUGAACUCGUACAGCUUUGUGCCAUCAUUCAACUUUUAGUGCGUUAGAUCUCCAUCCACCACCGCCAUCCACCACACUGAGAGCCUUAAGGAGAGUGUGCGGGUUAUUAAUGUCUGUAUUCCCCAUACCAGCACCCAUCCUGCAAGUGAAUAAGCCCGAUUAAGCCCAAAAGUUUUGGUUGCACCUUCUCCUCAGCCAGUGGGCACCUACUGGUGUUACAGUUCUGAGACUUAGAAGGGCACAUCAGUGAUUCCUCAUGUAAUAAAGAAUAUUUGUUCUAAAAUAUUGCCCUCUCUUCCUUUUUAGAAAAGCAGCUAGCAUUUUUUAAACUUCUGCCACAUAUCAGUCACCUCAUUAUAAAUGGGUGAAUCUAGUAAUCAAAGCCACUAUUGCUUAUUUUUUCUUAAAUAUGUGAAUUGGAAAGAAUGAGACCUACCUCAAUGUGGUGAAAAGUGAGCGAGAUAAUGCAAGCAAAACCCUAUCAUAGCUCAUGGCAUAAGUCAGAGAUCAACUAAUAGCAGAGGUUCUAUGGAGCAGAUGAUGCCUGGAUAGUACAUGCGAGGCCAAAUCUAGUCAAAUCAGCUGGAAGGGAGAAUCCACUCAAAGGGAUUGCUGCAGGCAAUGAACUAUUCAGGUCUUUGCUAGGUAAGAAGAGAGAUUAAUUGUGGAUAGUGACUGAGGCUUUAAAAGAAGACAUGAAAGGCUGACAUGUAUCAUUGUCCUGAUUCUUUAUAGCUCCAAGUAGAGGUUUUAUCCUGUGAUGAUCAGGUAUAACAAUAAAACUCCUGUAACCUGGAAAUCUAAUUUUCUCUUCUAUUUGGGCCAGAAUGGAAAUAUGUCGCUGUUUUCCCAUGGUUGAGUGCUGCCUAUGCUCUUCAUUCUCCCAAAUAAAAAUUUCCCUGAGCAAGAGAAGUUGAGAGAAUGGCCUUAGACGGAUGAAACUCGUCACUAAUAACCAUAAGUGGUGCACUCUCUCCCAAUCUUUAAAAUUGCAAGAAAGAGUUCAAUGAGUUUGAGUCUCUAGUGCGAAAUUCAAAACUUAGACAAUUUGCAAAUAUUUUUUUUUGUUACGUGAUAAUUCCGAUCAACCACCAUGGCUCAAAACAAGACUCUUAUGACAGUCUUUCGGAAAACCAUAGUGUUAAAUCCAGCCUCAUUUGUUCCAUACACCACUCCUGCUGCAUGAGGUUGUAACGAUGCUUUUAUUGUGUGCUGCCAUCUGCUUCAAGACUGUAUCUCCUUUCCAUUCAAAUGUUAGUUGAGUCUCACACCAG